ACAGCGUACUUGCAAAAAAUAAAAAUGAAUGGAGGAAUCUUGCACACUUGAGAGCAGUUAAAAAAACAUUCUGAUACAGUUUAAACCUUUCCUUGACUGGCUCUCGGUGGCCCUCUUUGUUUCCUGUACCUGUGGUAGGUGGACUUGUACACGCAGAAAAAAAAAGGAACUUGCAUUCACAUCCUUCUUUCAGUAACUGACAGGAAACAAUGAACAAGAGAACAGCUCUAACAAUUCUAUGCUGUUCCAUGUUCUGUGAGGCUUUUGGAGCAGUUCAAAAUGAGAUUCUAGUAGAACCAGGGGACACAGUCACCCUUGGCUGUGACAUUACCCUGGAGUAUGAGGUCAUGUGGUUUGUUCUUCGUCCUGAUGCCACUCUUUCAGUAGCCAUCACUAUGAAGACAAAUACACCCCUGAGCCUCAAAAGGUUUGAUGGUCGUUCCGAGUCAGUGUAUGACACAGGCCUGUUCAGAAGCAAUCUGAGCAUACUGAACAUCUCAGAGAGUGACGUGGGUCUGUACUACUGUGUUGAGCAGAGGGCUAACAUAUUUGAGAUCGGAAGUGGGACCAAGCUCUCCCUUAUCAGUGGUGGUCAGUUUCAGCAUUAUGGACAUGGGUGUAUCUGUGGUCCAUUUGGUCUGUCCCACGGCUUCCUUCAGUGAUGGGUUGUGAGUGGCUCUGUUGAUGAACUUCUGGCCAAUGAUUGACUGUCUAUUGUCGAUUGAUGUCAGUCCAGAUAUGCUGUUAACGUAGUGAUUGUUGAUGUAUCUUGGUAGUCUGUAAGCCAUUUUUAUUGCCAUGUUUUGGACCCUCUGUAGCCGAUUCAUCUGCUGCGGUGAAGCUGUUAUCCAGGCUGGUAGGGCGUAUUCAAAGAGGGGUCGGAUGUAGCUGAUGUAGACUUUCAGCACUCUCUGAGGUGAGGCUCCAUAUUUUCUUCCGCACAGCGUUUUUAGGUGGUUUAGUCUUUUUCGUCCCUCUCUCUCUAUGUUCGCUAUAUGGAUUUUUCAGUGCAUGUGCAUUUUCAGUGCACCUUCUUCUAGAAGGUGACUCCAAGGAAUUGUGCUUCUUUUUCUACUUUUAUUGUUUCACCGUAGAGUUUGAGAUCUAUGGGUUUCCUGUUUUUUUUUGCUGGUGCUUCUUGUGAAGAGGACACAUUGGGUCUUUUGUGGGUUCAAUUUUACUCGCCACAUGUUAGACCAUGUCUCGAUCAUUUAAAUAGACUUUUGGAGUUUUUUUGCAGCAAGUUGAGGACAUUUGGAGCUGGACCAGUAGCAGAGGUCAUCGGCAAACUGUGAAACUUGACCUAUGGUGGGUGGAGGGUAGUAAAUAUCUGAUAUGUAGAGUAAAAAAAGUAGCAGGCUUAGAACUGCCCCCUGUGGGACACCUGCUUCAGGGGUGAAAGGUGAGGAUAUUGCUGUGGAGACCUUCACUUUAAUUGUACGGUUGUGGAGAAAGCUAGUGAUUAUGUUUCUGAUGGAGAGUGGUAGUUUGAGAUUGGAGUCUGCAAGCCGGUAUCUUACCUCAUUUGCACACACUAUACUGUAAUGGAGCAGGUCUCAAACCCUCGACCUUCCAGCCCGAAGUCCAGCACGCUAUCCACUGUGCCACAAAAGCAUGCUCUGAACGGCAAGGUCGAUAUCCCAGGGUCGUUACACUACUCCCUCCUUUCAAAGAGCGCAUCCUCGCGCUAGCUUGCGACUCUACGUCUUACACGGAACCCAAAACAGCUGUGC